ACAAGUUGAAUCUGAGACAAGGCAAGCCCUUUCCACCUAUGAACCUGUAAAAUCAAAAACAAGCUAGUUACUUCCAAGAUAUAGUGGGGGCGCAGGCAUUGGGUAAAUACCCCCUUUCAAAAAGGGAGAAAUCAGCCAAAACGAAGGAACUACAGGCCCCACACAUGUCUGCAACCCUGCAGGGCAAACAUUUAAGUCUUAAUGCUCCCAAAAAGUCUUUGACUGCAUGUCUCACAUCAAG
rnacentral:lncRNA from 10 species